UCUCAGCAACGGAACUUCAAGCAAAACCCGCUCUGGAAGAUAUACAUGAUAAAAGCACCCUGUCAACCACGGACACAUCCCACAGCCAUUUCCCCCUUGUGACAGCUCAUAAAAUGCUGCAUAAUGGUUCCUGUGUGAGUAUGAGAAAAUAUUGAAACAACGUCAAGAGAAUCAAGCAAAAGGCAACUGGUCCCCUGGAUCCGUCUUCAUUGGGUCCCACUGGACAACUUUUUGCCGGAUGAACUGUAGAGGCUGGUAAUACCACAGGAUAGCAAAAAUUUAAGAUGUUACCUGAAGGAAUUUCUGGAGCCCUACUCUAAACCCAAUCCUGAAGAUGUCACAGAAGGGAGAAAGAAAAUGGUGGAUCUAAGAAAAUAUUGGAAAAACUGAAAAGUCCCUGGGGAGACAGAAGUUGGCUCCGUUCUGAGUCCUAGCUGAAGCAACAACCAACUAGAAAAUGCAUUAGAAAUCCAGGAAUCAUCCAGAAGAGCAUUAAAAAACCUAAGGAAGACAUUGGAGAAUUCGUAUGCUAUUUUAGCUGGCUCUGUGAUUGCAAUCACACAAAUCACUCCAUUCCAGAGAGAUUUCAUGAACAGGAGGUUUUUCCAUUUCAGCCUUUCAAGGUAAAACAUUAUCUUUUCAUUUUCUAUAUACUCCAGGGAAUCAAGAAAUUAUGAAACGUAAGCCAUAAUUAUAAUAGCAUUUCUAAGUCUUCCUUGAUGGUCACAGUUAAGAAAAGGGAAGAGGAGAACUCUUUUGUUCCCAGUGACAUUAAAAUGCCCAGUCAGAUAAAAAUAAUAUUGAAUUGGCUUUCCUUUGUUCAACUGUUGUAACCUGCAAUCUCACUGCCUAUUUCACCCCAAAAUGAGUUAGUGUUGCAGAGCAAGAUAAUGACUCUCCCAUAAGCUUAUGAAUUGCUAUAGAACUGGAACUGUUCGGUGCAAAGAACUGAAAUGAAAUCAGAAGGUGAGUUGACUAUAGAUUUGUCAUACAUUUGCCAGCUGUUCAAUCUGGCCUUCUGUUCCUAUCUUUGGUACUUUUAUUUAUGCACAUGUAACACCAUGAGGAAGCAGAGAGUAUAAACAGCAACUAUCUCUUGGGUCAUUCAAUUUUGGCUUUAUAUUUUCUACUACGCUUAUGACUGCUGGUCACAUUUCUAUUCCAUUUGGGUGGUCUAAUUUAAAUGCGGAGUAUCAUAUGAGGGAUGGCAAGAACGCAGGCUUCCUGAGGACUGAUCUUUGCUAGAGCUAAGACCUAAUGUGCAUGGCUUCCAUUCACUGCUGAAGGAAGACAGUCCCUUAAGUGUAGAGCCAUGUUUAGUAGUUGAAAAUAGAAUUCUUUUUAGAAAUAAAGAUUGUAAGAUAUGAGCCAUUGGAUAUUAAAAAUAUCACUCAGGUUUGCCUGGGUGGCUCAGUCGGGUGAGUGUCUGACUCUUGAUUUUAGCUUAGGUCAU